GAUGGAUCUGUCAGAACACGGCUUUGGGCUGGCCCUGCUCAACGACUGCAAGUAUGGCGCGUCAGUGCGAGGCAGCAUCCUCAGCCUCUCGCUGUAAGUGGGGUACCCACCAGGCCUGGGAGCUGGCAUGGAGAAAUGGGUCUUCCCGACCACAACUCCAACAGCUUCAGCGUGGCCCCUACGCGCCCUCCUCACCCCAGCUUGCGGGCGCCUAAAGCCCCGGACGCUACUGCUGACACGGGGCGCCACGAGUUCACCUAUGCACUGAUGCCGCACAAGGCCCCCAGCCCAGCGCCCGCCACCUCCUGGAGUGCGUUUUCCGUGUCUUCACCCGCGGUCGUAUUGGAGACCGUCAAGCAGGCAAGGGCAGCCCCCAGCGCCGCUCGCUGGUCCUGAGGCUGUAUGAGGCCCACGGCAGCCACGUGGACUGCUGGCUGCACUUGUCGCUGCCGGUUCAGGAGGCCAUCCUCUGCGAUCUCUUGGAGCGACCAGACCCUGCUGGCCACUUGACCCUUCGGGACAACCGCCUGAAGCUCACCUUUUCUCCCUUCCAAGUGCUGUCCCUGUUGCUCGUGCUUCAGCCUCCGCCACACUGAGUCCCUGGGGCUGGGGUUUUGUUUGUAGAAGGCUCUGGGGACUCCUAAUUUCUGCUUCCCCAGCCUAAAGCAGGGAUCAGUCUUUUCUUGUGGAAUAAAUCCUUGGAUCGGGAA
rnacentral:lncRNA from 1 species